ensembl:misc_RNA Y_RNA Y RNA
GGCUGGUCUGAGUGCAGUGGCAUUUACAACUAAUUGAUCACAAUCAGCUACAGAUUUCUUUGUCCCUUCUCCACUCUCACUGCUUCGCUUGACUAGCCUUUA